CAAGGGUCAAGAAAACAUUUUUGUUUAUCUGGGAGCCAAAAAGGCUUUGUCACUGACAUGAUGACUGCGAAGCAAGUAAUUAAAGUUCAACAUCAAAUGAACCAGUUUAUGUAAGCGACAUAGCACCUAUGGUGAAGGACCAGGCACUGUCCCCUCAUCCAUAUGGCUUAGACUGGGAGCAACACCUCGCUGACAUCCAGUCGCUGACACUACAUCACAAUGAUGUUAUUAUUUGCGCCUAUCCUAAAGCAGGUACACACUGGCUGUGGGAGGUGUGUCACAUGCUGCACCAGGGGGAUGUACAGUACGUAACCCGCUCCAAAGAACACCUGAUGAUGGAGUUUGUCUCUAAGGACACACUCGCAAAAGAGGACCCCCGCGCAUCUUCAAUACACAUCUUUAUUUCUCCUUACUUGUAACCGAACAAAUAAAACAGAAAAAGGUCAAGCUGGUCCACGUUUACCGCAAUCCUAAAGAUACGGUGGUGUCCAUGUUCUUCCAUUACAGACAGAAACCGGGUUACCCACAGGACUUGAGAGAGUUUGUCCAACUAUUUCUGAGAGGCGAAGUGUCGUUUGGGGACUAUGUGAGGUACCUGCAGCAGAUGGAGACAUUCAUGAAGGAAAACCCUGACCACCCUGUUGUGAACGUGUCUUUUGAGGAAACCAAGCGAGAUCCAGUGGGUGUGGUCAGGCGCCUGGCUGAGUUGAUGCAAGUGGACGCGAGCGAGAAGCUGUGCGAGGACAUUGCAGUGGCCUGUAGCUUCCAGAAGAUGAAGAUGGUGGACGAUACGCUUAAAAACAUUUGGAGACUCCUGUCUUCACAUUUAACCUGAAACUAUACAGAAAAGGGGAAGUUGGAGACUGGAAAAACUACCUGACUGUGGCGGAGAGCGAGAUGAUCGACAAAUAUAUUGCGGAAGGACUGAAAGACUGCACUCUCUUCAAACUUGAGUAUGAGUAGAGCAACACAAUGACCAGAAGGGAGGUCACUGUGAUGAGCAGUCAAGGUGCGAGAAAUCAUGAAGCUACAAAGACAACAAAGAUCCGGAGCUGUAUUCCAAGAAAAUAUUUUAAUCCUUUGUAAAUGUCGAUAAUCAAUAAAAAUCUGAAUGAAAUGUGUUUUUAUGAAGGAAUCAUGCUGCUCCUGCUGCAGCUGAUGAAGAUGAAUAUUAUUGAGAAAUAUUUCGCAUAAAUAUUUCGUGUGCUAUUGAAGUAGAUAUUUCAUUAAUAAAAAUAUUGCACACGUGGAAA
rnacentral:lncRNA from 1 species